rnacentral:rRNA from 1 species
UACGUAGGAGGCGAGCGUUGUCCGGAUUUAUUGGGCGUAAAGAGCGCGCAGGCGGCAUGGCAAGUAAGGUGUGAAAUCUCCCUGCUCAACGGGGAGGGAGCACUUUAGACUGCCAAGCUAGAGGACGGUAGAGGGGGGUAGAACUGCUGGUGUAGCGGUGAAAUGCGUAGAGAUCAGCAAGAAUACCCGUGGCGAAGGCGGCCCCCUGGGCCGAACCUGACGCUGAGGCGCGAAGGCUAGGGGAGCGAACGGGAUUAGAUACCCCGGUAGUCCUAGCAGUAAACGAUGGCCACUAGGUGUGGGGGGUGUUGACCCCUUCCGUGCCGAAGCUAACGCAUUAAGUGGCCCGCCUGGGGAGUACGGUCGCAAGACUAAA